rnacentral:rRNA from 1 species
CCUACGGUAGGCAGCAGUGAGGAAUAUUGGUCAAUGGACGAGAGUCUGAACCAGCCAAGUCGCGUGAAGGAUGACUGCCCUAUGGGUUGUAAACUUCUUUUAUAAAGGAAUAAAACGAGGCACGUGUGCCUUUUUGCAUGUACUUUAUGAAUAAGGAUCGGCUAACUCCGUGCCAGCAGCCGCGGUACUACGGAGGAUCCGAGCGUUAGCCGGAUUUAUUGGGUUUAAAGGGAGCGUAGAUGGGUUGUUAAGUCAGUUGUGAAAGUUUGCGGCUCAACCGUAAAAUUGCAAUUUAUACUGGCAGUCUUGAGUACAGUUGAGGUAGGCGGAAUUCGUGGUGUAGCGGUGAAAUGCUUAGAUAUCACGAAGAACCCCGAUUGCGAAGGCAGCUUACUAAACUGUGACUGACAUUGAUGCUCGAAAGUGUGGGUAUCAAACAGGAUUAGAUACCCGGGUAGUC